CAAGUCGAACGGGGUCCAUGCUGUAGCAAUACAGCGGAAGACCUAGUGGCGAACGGGUGAGUAUCACGUGAGAAACCAACCCCGGUCUCUGGGAUAACAGGUGGAAACACCUGCUAAUACCGGAUGCCGUCGUUUCCUCGCAUGGGGAGAUGACGAAAGGGCUACCGGAUCGGGACGGUCUCGCGGCCUAUCAGCUUGUUGGGGAGGUAACGGCUCACCAAGGCUUCGACGGGUAGCUGGUCUGAGAGGAUGAUCAGCCACACUGGGACUGAGACACGGCCCAGACUCCUACGGGAGGCAGCAGUGGGGAAUCUUGCGCAAUGGGCGAAAGCCUGACGCAGCAACGCCGCGUGCGGGAUGAAGGCCUUCGGGUUGUAAACCGCUUUUACCAGGAAGGAAAAUGACAGUACCUGGAGAAUAAGGUGCGGCCAACUACGUGCCAGCAGCCGCGGUGACACGUAGGCACCAAGCGUUGUCCGGAUUUAUUGGGCGUAAAGAGCUCGUAGGCGGUUCAGUAAGUCGGGUGUGAAAACUCUGGGCUCAACUCAGAGACGCCACCCGAUACUGCUGUGACUUGAGUCCGGUAGGGGAGUGGGGAAUUCCUGGUGUAGCGGUGAAAUGCGCAGAUAUCAGGAGGAACACCAAUGGCGAAGGCACCACUCUGGGCCGAGACUGACGCUGAGGAGCGAAAGCGUGGGUAGCAAACAGGAUUAGAUACCCUGGUAGUCCACGCCGUAAACGGUGGGCACUAGGUGUGGGUUCCAACCAACGGAAUCCGCGCCGGCGCUAACGCAUUAAGUGCCCCGCCUGGGGAGUACGGCCGCAAGGUUAAAACUCAAAGGAAUUGACGG
rnacentral:rRNA from 1 species